rnacentral:rRNA from 1 species
GACGAACGCUGGCGGCGUGCUUAACACAUGCAAGUCGAACGGAAAGGCCCUGCUUUUGUGGGGUGCUCGAGUGGCGAACGGGUGAGUAACACGUGAGUAACCUGCCCUUGACUUUGGGAUAACUUCAGGAAACUGGGGCUAAUCCCGGAUAGGAGCUCCUGCUGCAUGGUGGGGGUUGGAAAGUUUCGGCGGUUGGGGAUGGACUAGCGGCUUAUCAGCUUGUUGGUGGGGUAGUGGCUUACCAAGGCUUUGACGGGUAGCCGGCCUGAGAGGGUGACCGGCCACGCUGGGCCUGGGAUGCGGCACAGACUCGAACGGUAGGCAGCGGAGGAGAGUAUUGUAUUGUACGCGGAGGCCAGAUGUAGCAACGCCGCGUGCGGGAAGACGUCCAGCGGGUAGUGUUGCACUGCCGCCUUUGACGAGGCGAUAGUGACGGUAAUGGGUGAAGAAGCACCGGCUAACUACGUG